AUGCAAGUCGAGCGAAGCAGUUAAGAAGAUUCUUCGGAUGAUCCCUGACUGACUGAGCGGCGGACGGGUGAGUAACGCGUGGGUGACCUGCCCCAUACCGGGGGAUAACAGCUGGAAACGGCUGCUAAUACCGCAUAAGCGCACAGAGCUGCAUGGCUCGGUGUGAAAAACUCCGGUGGUAUGGGAUGGGCCCGCGUCUGAUUAGGCAGUUGGCGGGGUAACGGCCCACCCAACCGACGAUCAGUAGCCGGCCUGAGAGGGCGAC
rnacentral:rRNA from 1 species